CGUCUAGAGAGACUGCCGGUGAUAAACCGGAGGAAGGUGGGGAGUGACGUCAAAUCAUCAUGCCCCUUAUGACCUGGGCUACACACGUACUACAAUGGCGCAUACAACGAGCUGCGAGAUGGUGACAUCAAGCGAAUCUCUUAAAAUGCGUCUCAGUUCGGAUUGGAGUCUGCAACUCGACUCCAUGAAGUCGGAAUCGCUAGUAAUCGCGGAUCAGCAUGCCGCGGUGAAUACGUUCUCGGGGUUU
rnacentral:rRNA from 1 species